CUGGGAUUUAAAAGGCCCACGACUGCCUCAGCAUUGAGCACUGAUCCUUGGUCCAGCUGGAAACUUCCCUGGAAGAAGAUAACACAGGCAUAAAAAUGAAUAAAAUUUGGAUUCUGUGUUUUGCGGUGCUGAUCAUCACCAUACCAUUUUCAACUCAGAAUAGUGAUGGUCAGAAGUCAGAAGUCAGUAGCUCAGCAUCCUCGAGUACUUCCACAAAUUCCAGCGCUGUAGGAUUGGGUCCUGUGCCCACCACACUGUACCUGCUGAUCCCUGCAGCCACCCUGGGCUUCAUCCACAGUAGAUCCUAAAAUGAUGACCAAGACAGAGACAGUGGCGAAAUGGACAGCCAUCCACCCAAAGAGCAAACUUUUCCACAAAACUUGAAGACAGAAGAUGCCGCAGCUCACAUUUUUGUAAUGGAUUUCAAGUAAUGAAAAUGAAUAAAGUUUGGAGAAUUUCUCCAAGAGGGAUUUGUUUGGUUACACCUGUUUUAGGGAGCCUGAAAGACACCUGCGACUCAGGGUCCUGCUACAGGACUCUUUGUUUUAGAGCUCACCUACUCAAUGGCAAAUUCUCUUGGAACAGUUUGAUUAUCCUAUGCUCAGUAUAUGAUAUAUAUAUUAAAUUUUAGCCCGAUUUCUGUAGUAACAUUGUGUACUACAAAUUUUACAUGUUACAAUAAAUGUGAUCAAUUUACUACAUCUCAGAAUGUGUCUGUAUGCACAAUUAAAAUAGAUGAUUGUAUGUUUGUUCCAUUUUUUUUUUCAUUCAAAUAAGUAUGAAUGUUUUCUCCUAAGAUAUAUAAUCAGAGUUUCAUAAUAUUUUUCCCCAUGUGUUUUACUGAAGAAUUAGAUGAGUAGAAAUACACUUAGAAUAAUCAGGAUUCUCCAUAUAUGUUUUCUUAUGCCAACAGCAAACCCAACAAAGCAAAAGAGAGUUUUAUAAUAUUUUUAGUAAGGUAAUAGGAUGUAGAGUAGAAAAUACAGGUAACCUAGUUUGAGAUGUAUUAGAGAAUUUAGUGUAUUUGACAUUUUAAAUAAAGCUUUAAGAGAUGAAGGCACUGUACUGAUAGAGGAUGUGAUCCUCCUCUUAAACCAAUGAGCAGGCACUUAAACACGUCACACAUCAGUCACUGUGAGAAUAAAACUCCCUCCCUGUCUCGCAUCACUGAGCACAGACUCUCUGCCCACAGAAAACAUCUCUGAAAGAAGAAGAAAAAAAGGCAUAAUCAUGAAUAAAAUACUGGCAUUGUGCAUCGGGUUACUGAUUAUAACCUUACCUUUUUCAUCUCAGCAGGACCAAAUUACAGCCAAAACACCUUCCCCCAGUAAACCUCCUGAGACUACAAAGCCUCCUCCCAGUGCUGCAGGACUGGGUCCUCUGCCCACCGUGCUGUGCCUUCUGAUCCCAGCAGCCACCCUGGGCUUCAUUCACAGUAGAUUCUAAACUGGCUGGAGAAUGUUUAGAUGACCAAGAGGAGCAAAGAUAGAUAGCCAGUCACAUGAAGACCAAACUUUUCCAAAAUUCUUUAAGAUAGAAGACACAAGAACAACUCAACAAGAAGAUGCCACAACAAAUCAGGUUUUUUAAUUUUUUUAAUAGUAAAAACUGGAAUGUAAAGGAAAAUUUCCACUGUAUACUGUACCGGGGGUCCUCCAAACCCCAACGAAACCACACCAUCUGACUCUUAGUUGUGUUUUAGCCCUGCUUUCAAUUGGACUCAUCAGUUGCAACAUCUUUUGAAAGACUGUAUGAAUCUGAUCACUGUAAUCCACCUUCUCCGAAAUAUUUUUGCACUAACUGUGAUGAACUACUAAUUGUAAGAAUGUGUCUAUAUGCACAAUUAAAGUGGAUGAUUGUA